rnacentral:rRNA from 4 species
AAUCCAUAGGUUAAUGAGGCGAACCGGGGGAACUGAAACAUCUAAGUACCCCGAGGAAAAGAAAUCAACCGAGAUUCCCCCAGUAGCGGCGAGCGAACGGGGAGGAGCCCAGAGCCUGAAUCAGCAUGUGUGUUAGUGGAAGCGUCUGGAAAGGCGCGCGAUACAGGGUGACAGCCCCGUACACAAAAGCGCAUGUGCUGUGAGCUCGAUGAGUAGGGCGGGACACGUGGUAUCCUGUCUGAAUAUGGGGGGACCAUCCUCCAAGGCUAAAUACUCCUGACUGACCGAUAGUGAACCAGUACCGUGAGGGAAAGGCGAAAAGAACCCCGGCGAGGGGAGUGAAAAAGAACCUGAAACCGUGUACGUACAAGCAGUGGGAGCACCCUUUGGGUGUGACUGCGUACCUUUUGUAUAAUGGGUCAGCGACUUAUAUUCUGUAGCAAGGUUAACCGAAUAGGGGAGCCGGAGGGAAACCGAGUCUUAACCGGGCGUUAAGUUGCAGGGUAUAGACCCGAAACCCGGUGAUCUAGCCAUGGGCAGGUUGAAGGUUGGGUAACACUAACUGGAGGACCGAACCGACUAAUGUUGAAAAAUUAGCGGAUGACCUGUGGCUGGGGGUGAAAGGCCAAUCAAACCGGGAGAUAGCUGGUUCUCCCCGAAAGCUAUUUAGGUAGCGCCUCGUGAAUUCAUCUCCGGGGGUAGAGCACUGUUUCGGCUAGGGGGCCAUCCCGGCUUACCAACCCGAUGCAAACUGCGAAUACCGGAGAAUGUUAUCACGGGAGACACACGGCGGGUGCUAACGUCCGUCGUGAAGAGGGAAACAACCCAGACCGCCAGCUAAGGUCCCAAAGUCAUGGUUAAGUGGGAAACGAUGUGGGAAGGCCCAGACAGCCAGGAUGUUGGCUUAGAAGCAGCCAUCAUUUAAAGAAAGCGUAAUAGCUCACUGGUCGAGUCGGCCUGCGCGGAAGAUGUAACGGGGCUAAACCAUGCACCGAAGCUGCGGCAGCGACACUGUGUGUUGUUGGGUAGGGGAGCGUUCUGUAAGCCUGUGAAGGUGUGUCGUGAGGCAUGCUGGAGGUAUCAGAAGUGCGAAUGCUGACAUAAGUAACGAUAAAGCGGGUGAAAAGCCCGCUCGCCGGAAGACCAAGGGUUCCUGUCCAACGUUAAUCGGGGCAGGGUGAGUCGACCCCUAAGGCGAGGCCGAAAGGCGUAGUCGAUGGGAAACGGGUUAAUAUUCCCGUACUUGGUGUUACUGCGAAGGGGGGACGGAGAAGGCUAUGUUGGCCGGGCGACGGUUGUCCCGGUUUAAGCGUGUAGGCUGGUUUUCCAGGCAAAUCCGGAAAAUCAAGGCUGAGGCGUGA